rnacentral:rRNA from 1 species
CGUGGCACCGGCUAACUACGUGCCAGCAGCCGCGGUAAUACGUAGGGUGCAAGCGUUAUCCGGAUUUAUUGGGCGUAAAGGGCUCGUAGGCGGUUCGUCGCGUCUGGUGUGAAAGUCCAUCGCUUAACGGUGGAUCUGCGCCGGGUACGGGCGGGCUGGAGUGCGGCAGGGGAGACUGGAAUUCCCGGUGUAACGGUGGAAUGUGUAGAUAUCGGGAAGAACACCAAUGGCGAAGGCAGGUCUCUGGGCCGUUACUGACGCUGAGGAGCGAAAGCGUGGGGAGCGAACAGGAUUAGAUACCCUGGUAGUCCACGCCGUAAACGGUGGAUGCUGGAUGUGGGGCCCUUUCCACGGGUUCCGUGUCGGAGCUAACGCGUUAAGCAUCCCGCCUGGGGAGUACGGCCGCAAGGCUAAAACUCAAAGAAAUUGACGGGGGCCCGCACAAGCGGCGGAGCAUGCGGAUUAAUUCGAUGCAACGCGAAGAACCUUACCUGGGCUUGACAUGUUCCCGACGACCUCAGAGAUGGGGUUUCCCUUCGGGGCGGGUUCACAGGUGGUGCAUGGUCGUCGUCAGCUCGUGUCGUGAGAUGUUGGGUUAAGUCCCGCAACGAGCGCAACCCUCGCCCCGUGUUGCCAGCGCGUCAUGGCGGGAACUCACGGGGGAC